CAGUAGCCACGGUAAUACAGAGGGUGCGAGCGUUAAUCGGAUUUACUGGGCGUAAAGCGUGCGUAGGCGGCUUCUUAAGUCGGAUGUGAAAUCCCUGAGCUUAACUUAGGAAUUGCAUUCGAUACUGGGAAGCUAGAGUAUGGGAGAGGAUGGUAGAAUUCCAGGUGUAGCGGUGAAAUGCGUAGAGAUCUGGAGGAAUACCGAUGGCGAAGGCAGCCAUCUGGCCUAAUACUGACGCUGAGGUACGAAAGCAUGGGGAGCAAACAGGAUUAGAGACCCCUGUAGUCCCUGUCUCUUAUAU
rnacentral:rRNA from 1 species